rnacentral:rRNA from 1 species
GUGACUUUGUUCAACGGCCGCGGUAUCCUAACCGUGCGAAGGUAGCGUAAUCACUUGUUCUUUAAAUAGGGACUAGUAUGAAUGGCACCACGAGGGCUUUACUGUCUCCUUUUUCUAAUCAGUGAAACUAAUCUCCCGUGAAGAAGCGGGAAUUAACUUAUAAGACGAGAAGACCCUAUGGAGCUUUAAACCAAAUAUCACCUGCUAACUUACAAUAUUCAGAUACUUUAUUUAUAUAGCACCAUGAUUAUAAGUUUUAGGUUGGGGUGACCGCGGAGUAAAAAUUAACCUCCACAUUGAAAGAGUCUCUAAGCAAAAAGCUACAACUUUAAGCAUCAAUAAAUUGACACUUAUUGACCCGGGAUUUUGAUCAAAAAGCCGCUUACCCUACGGGAUACCAGCCCGGUCCACUAUAACAGAAAUAAAGGCGAGUGGGCUUAAAACCUCGAUGUUGGAUCAGGG